rnacentral:rRNA from 1 species
GAAGAACCUUACCUGGACUAGAAUGUGAGGGAAUGUCGGGUAAUGCCGGCAGUCCGGGAAACCGGACCCAAAACAAGGUGCUGCAUGGCUGUCGUCAGCUCGUGUCGUGAGAUGUUGGGUUAAGUCCCGCAACGAGCGCAACCCUUAUCAACAGUUGCCAUCAUUAAGUUGGGAACUCUGUUGAGACUGCCGUUGAUAAAACGGAGGAAGGUGGGGAUGAUGUCAAGUCAUCAUGGCCUUUAUGUUCAGGGCUACACACGUGCUACAAUGGAUGGUACAAAACGUCGCAAUCUCGCAAGAGGGAGCUAAUCGCGAAAACCAUUCUCAGUUCGGAUUGAAGUCUGCAACUCGACUUCAUGAAGUUGGAAUCGCUAGUAAUCGCAAAUCAGCAUGUUGCGGUGAAUACGUUCCCGGGUCUUGUACACACGC